AUAUAUACCAUGCAUAUUUUACAUACACACAUACAUAUUUAUUUGCCUAAACCAUAUAUACUUACGCAUAUACAUACAUAUAUAUAUACAUAUAUUCAUACCUAAAUCCUAAAUCCCCCCUAAACCCCCUAUGGUUAAAACUUAAACCCUAAACCCAAAAAAAACCCUAAACCCUAUAUAUUUAUGCAUACAUACAUAUAUAUAUACUUACGCAUAUGCAUAUAUUCAUAUAUAAAUAUACAUAUACAUAUAUUCAUACCUAAACCCUAAACCCUAGAAUUAAUCUUAAACCCUAUAUAUUUACGCAUACACAUACAUCUAUACAUAUGCAUAACCCAAACCCUAAACCACUAGGGUUAAAACCUAAACCCUAAAUCCUAUAUACUUACGCAUAUACAUACAUAUAUACAUAUAUUCAUACCUAAACCCUAAACUCUAGGGUUAAAACCCAAACCCUAAACCCUAUAUAUUAAUGCAUAUUCAUACAUAUUUAUUACUCAUAUGCAUAUAUUUAUAUACUUAUAUUCAUAGCUAAACCCUAAACCAUAGGGUAAACCCAAAACCCUAAACCCUAAACCCAAAACUCUAAACCCUAGGGUUAAACCCACACUCUGGGUUAAACCCUAAACCCUAACUCUAGGGGUAAACCUUAAACCCUAACCUAAACCCUAACCUAAGGCUUAAACCCUAACCUAAACCCUAACCCUAGGCUUAAACCCUAAACCCUAACCCUAGGCUUAAACCCUAAACCCUAACCCUAGGGUUAAACCCUAAACCCUAACCCUAGGGUUAAACCCUAAACCCUAGGAUUAAACCCUAAACCCUAACCCUAGGGUUAAACCCAAACCUAAACCGUAGGGUUAAACCCUAAACCAUAACCCUAGGGUAAAACCCUAAACCCUAACCCUAGGGUUAUACCCUAAACCCUAACCCUAGGGGUAAACCCUAAACCCUAACCUAAACCCUAACAAUAGCGUUAAACCCUAAACCCUAACCUAAACCCUAACAAUAGCGUUAAACCCUAAAUCCUAAACCCUAACAAUAGCGUUAAACCCUAAACCCUAACCUAAACCCUAACAAUAGCGUUAAACCCUAAACCCUAACCUAAACCCUAACAAUAGCGUUAAACCCUAACAUAUAUGCAUAUAUACGUAUACAUAUAUUAAACCCUAAACCCUUCGGUUAAACCCUAAACCCAAUAUACUUACGCAUAAACAUAGAUAUAGACAUAUAUUCAUACCUAAACUCUAAACCCAAGGGUUAAAACCUAAACCCUAAACCCUAGGGUUAAAACCUAUACCCUAAACCCUAGAAUUAAAACUUAAACCCUAAACCCUAUAUAUUUACUUAUAUACAUAUUAUAUACAUAUACAUAUGCAUAUAUAC
rnacentral:lncRNA from 1 species